rnacentral:tRNA from 4 species
AGAGGUAUAGCUCAGUUGGUUAGAGCGCUCGCUUCACAUGCGAGAGGUCGUGGGUUCGAAUCCCUCUAUCUCUACCA